GGGACCGGGAGUGCUAAUGUCUUUUCUCCUCUCAUCUUGGAUGGCGCUCCUUAUUGGAUCCCAUCGCGACUGAAUCGGCAAGAGUAUCAUUGAUCAAGGCCUCUUCUAUGCGGGCAUACUUUUCUGUACGGACAAGCAUAUUUGGGAGAUCCUGAGGAUAAGUCUUAAUUAAUGACUUUUUCAAGUCAUUUUUCAGUAGAUCGCUCAUCAUUGCGGCCAUCGCGGUUGAUUGAUCCAGAUUUUGGACCUCCAGGAUCG
rnacentral:lncRNA from 1 species